GACGAACGCUGGCGGCGUGCUUAACACAUGCAAGUCGAACGGAAAGGCCCUGCUUGCAGGGUACUCGAGUGGCGAACGGGUGAGUAACACGUGGGUGAUCUGCCCUGCACUUCGGGAUAAGCCUGGGAAACUGGGUCUAAUACCGGAUAGGACCAUCGUUUAGUGUCGGUGGUGGAAAGUUUUUCGGUGCAGGAUGAGCUCGCGGCCUAUCAGCUUGUUGGUGGGGUAAUGGCCUACCAAGGCGUCGACGGGUAGCCGGCCUGAGAGGGUGGACGGCCACAUUGGGACUGAGACACGGCCCAGACUCCUACGGGAGGCAGCAGUGGGGAAUAUUGCACAAUGGGCGCAAGCCUGAUGCAGCGACGCCGCGUGGGGGAUGAAGGCCUUCGGGUUGUAAACUCCUUUCAACCAUGACGAAGCAUUAUGUGACGGUAGUGGUAGAAGAAGCACCGGCUAACUACGUGCCAGCAGCCGCGGUAAUACGUAGGGUGCGAGCGUUGUCCGGAAUUACUGGGCGUAAAGAGCUCGUAGGUGGUUUGUCGCGUCGUCUGUGAAAUUCCGGGGCUUAACUCCGGGCGUGCAGGCGAUACGGGCAUAACUUGAGUGCUGUAGGGGAGACUGGAAUUCCUGGU
rnacentral:rRNA from 1 species